AUUGAACGCUGGCGGCAUGCUUUACACAUGCAAGUCGAACGGCAGCGCGGGCUUCGGCCUGGCGGCGAGUGGCGAACGGGUGAGUAAUGCAUCGGAACGUGCCCAGUAGUGGGGGAUAGCCCGGCGAAAGCCGGAUUAAUACCGCAUACGACCUGAUGGUGAAAGCGGGGGACCGAAAGGCCUCGCGCUAUUUGAGCGGCCGAUGUCGGAUUAGCUAGUUGGUGGGGUAAAGGCUUACCAAGGCGACGAUCCGUAGCUGGUCUGAGAGGACGACCAGCCACACUGGGACUGAGACACGGCCCAGACUCCUACGGGAGGCAGCAGUGGGGAAUUUUGGACAAUGGGGGCAACCCUGAUCCAGCCAUGCCGCGUGCGGGAAGAGGGCCUUCGGGUUGUAAACCGCUUUUGUUCGGGAAGAAAUCCUCUGGGCUAAUACCCCGGGGGGAUGACGGUACCGGAAGAAUAAGCACCGGCUAACUACGUG
rnacentral:rRNA from 1 species